ACUUGAAGAUCAAAUAAAAAUUCAGCGGACCAGAUAAACUAAAAACUUGAAGUUCAGUUAAAUUUUGUUCCUGCCCUCAAUUUCCUCCAAAUGAAAAGGAAACUUCUUUGAACCUUCCCUUAAUGUAAUUACAGUAUCCAAAUGCACUAGUUCCUAUGUCUUCUUCUUCAUUUGUUUCCUUAAAGUCCAAGUCCAACUUUUUUAAAAUGGAAAAUUUUACAUUUUUAAUAGAAAUGUCCUUUUCCUUUAUUAUUGUGUUGAUGUGUUUUGGUUUUAUAUCUUUAAGUACAUCAUUAGUCAAACCCUGGCGCUGUCAUCUCUAUGGGGCUGUGCGUUAGUAGAACAAGUGAAACCCAGCUCAGUCAUGAUAGGAAUGGCAUCGCCAAGGUCUCAUCUGCAACAGAGCCUUCAGAUGGUGAGAUACUACAAUCAGCCAAUCUGAAGAGCUUUUGCUUUGAUGAACUAAAAAAAGCCACUAGUAACUUCAGUUCCAACGCGAUUCUCGGUGAAGGUGGUUUUGGUUCUGUCUACAAAGGGUGGAUAGAGGAGCAUUCAUUGAAAGCUGUUUCUGCUAGGCGAGUGACUGGUACAGCUAUUGCUGUAAAGAUGCUUGAUCCAAUGGGUAUCCAAGGUCAACAAGAAUGGUUGGUAAAUAUGUUUAUCUGUUCUCGAGCAUGCUCUUGUUGAAAUUACAUCAAACACUUGUUCGAUAAUCUCUUUUCGGUAUUACAUCAGUAGAUAUUACUUUGCUUUGGGCAGUUCUAUCUCUUCCGCUUGGAGAUUACUUUCUAGAAGGGUAUGAUUGACAAUUUUAUUCAUAAAAGAAGAGAGAGUAUGAUUAACAAUUUUUUUGGUUCUUGGGAAAUAGACAGAAAUCAAAUACCUGGGGCAAUUUUAUCAUCCAAAUCUUGUGAAAUUGAUUGGUUACUGCUUAGAGAAUGACCAUCGGCUUCUUGUCUAUGAGUUUAUGCCCAAUGGAAGCUUGGAGAAUCAUAUAUUCAUCGGAGCAGGGGAAACCGACAUUAAAGCACUAUCUUGGGAUCGCCGAAUAAAAGUUGCUCUUGGUGCUGCUAAGGGUCUAGCAUUUCUUCAUCAUAAGGUUGAUGCAAUACAUCGAGACUUUAAAUCUUCUAGUAUCCUGCUCGAUGCAAAUUAUAACACCAAACUCUCUGGUUUCGGCUCGGGCAGAGAUGGGCCAACAGGCACUAAUAGCCAUGUUUCCACGAGGGUCAUGGGCAAUGAUUAUUAUGCAGCACCUGAAUAUACUAGUACAGGUUUGGGAUCGUUCUCCUUGAAAUAAUCUCUGGCAGGCGAGGUAUAGAGAGACAGGCCGCCGGGAGAACAAAAUUUAGUUAUUUGGGCAAGGAGCCUUAGUAGACGCAAGUUUUCCCAAGUUUUAGAUCCUACCAUUUUAGGUCAGCAUGCAACAAGCAAUGUGAUAAAAGUUUCUCAACUUGCGUUGAAAUGCGUUUCGCUGGACCUAAGGCUCAGGCCAGAUAUGGAAGAAGUUGUUGGAGUUUUGGAAGAAGCUCAGGACUUCCACAGUCGUAGUGAGAGAACAGAGGCUCUGAGCACUACAAUUUAAGCAAUAGUUCCAAAUAUGGCAAAAAACAAGACAAAAAUUGAACAUUCAUCAACGCAGGCAACAUGAGAAAUAAUCAUAAGUGUCUAUUUUUGUUUUCUUGUUAGUGAAGCACCAGCACUUCUUGAAGGUCUAUGUACAAGGAGGGGAUACGCGGGGACGAAAUAGACGACACUACGGGAGUGUUCAAGUGUUAUUGGAGUUAAUUUUAAUACAUUGAACUUCUUUUGAACUUUUUAUGUUAUUUAUAGAGAAUUAAUCAUGAAUAUUAUUUACGUAAUACGUUUAUAUAUUAUUUUUUGUGCGCGCGAGUGCGCGUGUUAUA